CGUAGGGCGCAAGCGUUGUCCGGAAUUAUUGGGCGUAAAGAGCUCGUAGGCGGCUUGUCACGUCGGGUGUGAAAGCCCGGGGCUUAACCCCGGGUCUGCAUUCGAUACGGGCCAGCUAGAGUGUGGUAGGGGAGAUCGGAAUUCCUGGUGUAGCGGUGAAAUGCGCAGAUAUCAGGAGGAACACCGGUGGCGAAGGCGGAUCUCUGGGCCAUUACUGACGCUGAGGAGCGAAAGCGUGGGGAGCGAACAGGAUUAGAUACCCUGGUAGUCCACGCCGUAGACGGUGGGAACUAGGUGUUGGCGACAUUCCACGUCGUCGGUGCCGCAGCUAACGCAUUAAGUUCCCCGCCUGGGGAGUACGGCCGCAAGGCUA
rnacentral:rRNA from 1 species